UCAAUUGUAACAUGGGAGACUUAAGGAGAUAAAGAAAAGAAACCGAAACAGAAAUGCAGAACUGCUAGAGAUAGAAGCGUUUAGCACGACGUCGUUUGUGGAAUGGUUUGAGGGCGUUGCUUAAAGUGCGCUUGCUCUCCCUCGCUUAAAUGUCUCAACCGCAAAAUUGGAAGCCAAAAUCGAAGCUCGGAACCCUAAAUUAGUGACUCUAUAGGGAAGCGAUAUAAACCGCUUGAACACUUCACGUUCUGACGAUCGAAAAUAUGUUCUCAAUUGCAGCAAUCAAUGAUACGGACUCUAAAAGUCAGUGGGAGCCAUUGGCUCCCACGAAAGAAGCUCAGGAAUUUCAUCUUUCUCAAACUUAUCAUGAAGGACUCCUCAAGUUACAAGCAAAAGAAUAUGAAAAGGCUCGCGAGCUUUUAGAAUCUGUCCUUAAAGAUCCUCUUAUUGCUAAUGCUCAGGUGGAUAGAAGUGCAAGUGAUGGUCAUCUAUUGCAACUCAGAUUUUUGGCAUUGAAAAACCUUGCCGCUGUUUUUCUUCAGCAAGGUUCUACACAUUAUGAGAAUGCUUUACACUGUUAUCUUCAAGCGGUGGAGAUUGAUUCAAAAGAUUCUGUUGUCUGGAACCAACUGGGAACAUUGUCAUGCUCAAUGGGCUCACUGAGUAUUUCACGUUGGGCAUUUGAGCAAGGCCUCUUAUGUAGCCCUAAUAACUGGAAUUGCAUGGAGAAGCUUUUGGAAGUUCUUAUUGCAAUUGGUGAUGAGGUUGCUUGCCUUUCUGUUGCUGAGUUGAUUUUGAGGCAUUGGCCAUCACAUUCUCGUGCUUUGCAUGUUAGAAAUACCAUUGAAGAAUCAGAACCGUUGCCAUUUGCUCCUAGAGGCAUAGACAAAUUAGAACCUAAACAUAUGCGGCUCAAAUUUCCUGACAAGAGAAAAGCUACUAAUGAGAAAGUAGACGAGGAUGUUGCAUUCAAAAAGCUGAAACAGAAUAAAGAACUGCAUCUGACAGAAGCUUCCUGGGUGGCUCUUACUGAUGCUCUUCUGGAAAUCUUAUCGCCACAAAGUUCUGAGAUAAAUCCUGAAAAAGCUUGCUGUUCUCCUGAUAUUAUGCUAAACAUAAACUUACCUUCUAGCUCUGAAGCUGUUAUGAAUACUAUGGAAAUGAAAGGGUCCAGUGGUGAAAGUAGUGCUUUUAGUGAUGGUAGCAUAGAACGGUCAAGUAAUUUUAAAGAGAAAGAAGCAAAUAUCCAAGAAGAACAACCACAUGAAAGACGGAGUUCUCGACUUGAAAGGCUCCGAAGUCGUAAACCAGGGAAAGAAGAAUCUGAUUCUUCCUGUGGCAAGGACCGUGCCAAGGUUGUUAUUCAAUAUCUAGAGCCAUUUAUUGCUGGUGGAUUGGGGGGUCGAGGUACUAUUCAUCGUGAUACCACAACACUAUCCUGUUUAGGAAAUUCUGAAUAUAAUAAUGUUUCUGCAUUUUUAAAAGAAACAUCAAACAAUUAUGGUGCUUACCAUAUGGCGCACUUGCUUUUGGAAGAGGUUGCUAGACAGGGCCUCACAUAUCAGGAUGCUUUAGUCAAAUUUCUAGAGUUAGAAAAGCUGACAAGGCACUGGGGAAAGGAGAGAACUGCUGAAUGUAAUAUUUUUCUUGCUGAGCUGUAUUAUGACUUUGGAUCAUGCUCCCCCAAUGGUUCUAAACAAUUAGAAUUUAUUUCAGAAACAUCUUAUCAUCUUUGUAAGAUCAUAGAAUCUGUAGCUCUAGAUUAUCCUUUUCACUUGACCCAUGCCUUGAAUAAAGGUUGUUUUCUGAUUGAUAGUAUCCAAGAGACCAGUGGAACAACAAUAGAUACCGCUACUGAGAGCAAUUAUUCAAAUUUAGAUAGCUCAUUCCUGAGGAAAAACAGGUCCUUCUGGGCUCGAUUCUUCUGGUUAAGUGGGAGAUUGUCUAUUUUUGAUGGCAACAGGGCAAAAGCUUGUGAAGAAUUUUGUAUUGCGUUGUCACUUUUGGCGAAGAGUGAAAACAUGGAAGAUUCUCUAUGUUCAGUGCCCCGACAACAUUGCAAGGCUGUAAAAGAGCUAAACAUUGAUAGAGUUCUUUAUGAAAUUAAUAUAUUGAAGGUCAAUUUCUUGAUGGAAAAGUCUAUCAUUAAGAUGAUGGAAGAAGGAAAUUUUUUGGAAUGUGUAUCCUUGCUUUCUCCCCUUCUGUUCUCCACACAGGAUGUCUACCCUGAUUCAUUCUCUUCAUCCAUGGCAGAGAAAAAAGAUGAAAAGAGAAGUUCCAUUGAACUCAGGGCUCUAGAUGUUCUAAUAGAAGCAUGUCAAAAGGCAAGGCCAAUGGAUGUAGAGAUGUAUUUCAAUUGCCAUUAUAGAAAGCUGAAAAUACUUAUGGCAAUGAUGGGUUUGAAUAAAUGUAUUACGUCAUUCAAAUAUUCUGAUCAAACACUUGGUUUAAGUGCAUCUCCUAAUUUUGAUACUGAUUCAAAGGAAAGUUCUAGCAAACACUGUAGUCACUUGGUUGCAGAGGAAGUGAAGGCACUCUCUGACUGUAUCUCACAAGUGAAAAAAGUUAUUGAUCAUCGUGGAGAUUCUGAUGGCCUUGCUGUUCCAUCGAGUAGCAUUUGUCAAAUGCACUCUCUGUUGUUGUUAAUCAUGAGCUAUGUUGCCAGCAUAGUUGUCUGCAACAAAGCCUCAGCACAAGAAAUUUCUGAUCAAGCUGAAAGCAUCUGUUUCAUUGAUGCAUCAAUUGUUUUCUGCAAACUCCAGCAUCUUGAUCCAACCACACCUAUCAAAACUCAAGUUGAUUUAAUUGUCGCAAUGCAUGACUUGCUUGCUGAGUAUGGGCUUUGUUGUGUGGGUGAAGGCGGAAAAGGUGAAGAAAGAACAUUUCUUAGGUUUGCAAUAAAGCAUCUCUUGGCCUUGGAUAUGAAGCUUAAAUCCAGCUUUAACCAUAAGGAAUCAAUGCGAUGUGAAGAAGUGUCCAAAAACAGUCUUGUCAAUGUUUCUGUUGAAGAAUCAAAAUCUGAUAUGUUAGAUAUCCGGAUGGAUUGGACCAAAAUUGAUGAAAUUAGUUCUGUGAAAAAGGAUGUUUCUGAAGGAGUAAUAUCCAAAGGGGUUUCAUCUUGCCAUGUCCAUGAUAAAGACAGUAGGGAAGUAGAGUGUGAAAAUCAUGGAGGUGCCAUGAUUGACAGUAAGUUAAUUAAGGGUGAAAGUUCAAGCAGUCAACUGAUUGAAUGUGGAAAUGAACUUUCUGAAGAAGAAAGGGAGGAACUUGAGUCUAAAAUUGACAAUGCUUUAGAUCAGUGCUUUUUCUGUUUAUAUGGUUUAAAUCUAAGAUCUGAUUCAUCUUAUGAAGAUGAUCUAGUGAUGCACAAAAAUACAAGCCGAGGAGACUAUCAAAGCAAGGAACAAUGUGCUGAUGUUUUCAAGUAUGUUCUUCCCUAUGCAAAGGCAUCUUCUAGGACUGGACUGGUCAAACUUCGGAGAGUUUUAAGAGCUAUUAGGAAGCACUUUCUGCAGCCACCUGAAGAUCUCUUGGCUGGAAACCCUAUUGAUAAGUUCCUAGAUGAUCCUAAUCUAUGUGAAGAUAAACUCUCAGAGGAGGCUGGGUCUGAUGGAUUUCUUGAAACUAUUACUAAGAUCAUGUUUCCUGAUGUGGGUGGCCUUGCACAGUAUAAUGCAACAUUAUUGAAGAGGUCUGAGCCAUAUUUGGAGGUUUACUGUAACUUGUAUUAUUUCUUGGCUCUGUCUGAGGAAAUGAGUGCAACUGAUAAAUGGCCUGGAUUUGUGCUGACUAAGGAAGGGGAAGAAUUUGUUGAACAAAAUGCAAAGCUCUUCAAAUAUGAUCUCAUGUACAAUCCUCUGCGCUUUGAAAGCUGGCAGCGACUUGGGAAUAUUUAUGAUGAGGAAGUAGAUUUGUUGCUAAAUGAUGGUAGCAAGCACAUUAAUGUAGUAGGAUGGAGGAAGACUACUACUUUAUCUGAGAGAGUGGAAACAAGCCGAAGGAGGAGUAGACGGUGCCUACUAAUGAGUUUAGCUUUGGCAAAGACAUCUACUCAGCAGUGUGAGAUACAUGAGUUAUUGGCAUUGGUAUACUACGACAGCCUGCAAAAUGUCGUCCCAUUUUAUGAUCAAAGAUCUGUUUUGCCCUUAAAGGAUGCGGCCUGGAUGAUGUUUUGUGAGAACUCAAUGAAACAUUUUAAGAAAGCCUUCACGCUUAAGCAGGAUUGGUUACAUGCAUUUUACUUGGGUAAACUCAGUGAAAAACUUGGGUAUUCACAUGAAAUAGCAUUAUCAUAUUACAACAAAGCCAUUGCUUUGAACAUAUCAGCUGUUGAUCCUGUCUAUAGGAUGCAUGCCUCACGGUUGAAGUUAUUAUUUAAGUGUGGAAAACAGAAUUUGGAGAUUUUGAAGGUUCUUUCAGCAAACUCCUUUAAUCAAUCUCUAAAAGAAGCUGUCACAAGUAUCCUUGGUGAUUUGGGUUGCUUAUCAUUUAACACAAAGGAGAUAUGUACUCAUGCCAAUUUUGUGGAAACAAAGCAUGAAGAGCUACUCAAAUUGGAUAAAGUAUGGUCCAUGAUUUACAAUGACUGCCUUUCUGCUCUUGAAACUUGUGUAGAGGGCGAUCUCAAACAUUUUCAUAAGGCCAGAUACAUGCUGGCUCAAGGGCUGUAUAAAAGAGGCGAGAACGGUGAUAUAGAGAGGGCAAAAGAUCAUUUAUCUUUCUGCUUCAAAUCUUCACGCUCAUCAUUUACAAUAAAUAUGUGGGAAAUUGAUAGCAUGGUCAAAAAAGGAAGGCGCAAGGCACCAGGUUCUGCUUGUAACAAAAAAGCCCUUGAGGUUAACUUACCAGAAAGUUCUCGAAAAUUUAUUACUUGCAUUCGAAAGUAUGUGCUAUUUUAUCUCAAACUAUUGGAGGAGACUGGAGAUAGAUGUAUUCUUGAACGUGCGUAUGUUUCUCUUCGAGGAGAUAAACGGUUUUCAUUAUGCAUUGAAGAUCUUGUACCUGUGGCUAUUGGAAGGUAUCUAAAAGCCCUGAUUUCAACUAUGUGCCAUUGUCAGACUACUGCCUCUGGUUCAGUGAGCUGUUCUGACAAUAUGCUGGAGAAAAUGUUUGCAUUGUUCAUGGAGCAAGGGAGCUUAUGGCCAGAAAUAUGCAGCUUGCAUGAAAUUGAGGGCCCCAAUAUGUCAGAGAAUAUCAUAUAUGGAUAUCUUCAUGAAUACAUUGUAUUAUUGGAGAAAAUUGGAAAAUUGGAAACUCUUGAAGCAAUAAAUGAGAAGAUUCGGAAACGUUUCAAGAAUCCUAAGUUCUCGAAUAGUAAUUGUGGAAAAGUUUGCAGGCAUGCUUCUGUUGCUUGGUGCCGAUCUCUUAUAUAUAAUUUGGCACAAAUAACUCCGUUAUCAUGUGGAUUCUCAAAUGGGAUUCAGGUCCUUAAUUUAACCGAUGGUGGUAUGGAUAAUAGCCAGUUGCUCUGUAUUGAUUUGCAGCCAAAUGAAUUAUGGAGUACAGCUUUCGAAGAUUCAACUCAUUUGGAAAAAAUUGAAACAAAAUGGAGCGGCAUUUUAGCAAGAAUAAAGAAUAUAAUAAUCAAGAAAGCAUCUGAUGAAAAUUUGGAAACUGCAAACACUUUGCUCAGAGCUUGCUAUAACUUUUACCGAGAGAGUUCUUCUGUUGUGCUUACCUCUGGUCUCAACUUUUAUUUGAUUCCAUCUCAAUUAGUAACAGAGACACUGCUUAACCCACCCUCAACUGGGAUUGAGCCACUUGAUCUGAGCAUACCAAGGAAGCUUCUAUUGUGGGCCUAUGUGCUAUUGCAUGGACGUUGUGCGAAUAUCUCUGUUGUUGUAAAGCACUGUGAAGAAAUUUCAAAGGUAUGCUAAACGCUAACUGAAGUUCUUUGCUGUACCAGAACAUCUAAUGGCGAAAACAAACCCAGAUAGCAUCUUUGAGAAAGUCAAAGGUGAAAAGAGGAAGUGGAAUGUCACCUGCGUUUUCAAACACGCCUGCCCCUAGUCUUCCAGGUAGUGGUAAAAACGGACCAACUUCUGCCGGAGGCAUUGACGUUGAUUCUAGCAGCAAUACCACUAAUCUUUUAAAUUCCUCCGAUGAGAUUCAGAAGAAUCUCUUUGCUUCUCCCCACUUGCACCAAUGUACCACUAACGAUGCAGAAAGAAGCAAUUUGAUAACACAUGAAGUAGAUAUAGAGGGAGAUUGACUUCGUCCACAUGGGACGAAUUUUAUUAUUGCAGGGGCAGCUGCCGGCUUCUUCACAGUGAAAGCUUAUAGAUGUAAUGACAUCAUAUAUACGGCUUGUAAAUCCUAUUUUAGUGAUAAAAUGUAAAUAGGGUAGGGUUCUAUUUGAGACCUACGAGGGGAGGGGACAAUUUGUAUUUCAUAGCAGGAUGGCUGUACAUAGUUGUACUUUGAACUUGUGAGGGGAUGAAGUUGUGUCAUUUUAGUUGAGAGGUGAUGAAUUUGAACACGAUUUUAACUAUUUCAGCAAGAAUUAUUUCUGAUUUU